rnacentral:lncRNA from 10 species
AGCCUGGAGAAGCAGCCCCACCUGCAGAGACAGGAAUGAAAUGGAACGUUAUUCUCAGUUCUUUGAGGAGGGGGCCCUGAGGGGCAGGGCAUGGGAGCAGAGCUUGGGGGCGUAACUAAGACCAGCCCCAGCGGACUGUCUAGAGGUUGGGAACUAGGUGUUACUCAUAUCCACACUCCCAGUCCCCAACACGGAGUAGGUGAUGGAGAAGCGUUUGUUGAAUUAAUGAAUAGUGAGCAAGCGGGUAGUUAUUGAUUGGCAAGGAUGUUUGGAAUGGCUUUUCUUCUAAAAGAAUUGAUUCUAGGGCCAGCCCCCAAAUGCCCAGCAGAACCGCCACCUCCCCAGAGCCAGAAAGCAACUUCUCAGGGGAAGCUGCCGCACUCCCUCCAAUUGCAGGUGCCCCCCGCUCACCUUGGCCGGAAGGCAGAGGACCUGGAUGAGUUUGUGGAGUCCUGAAGUAGGACAUGACAAUAGGAUGAGGUUAAAAGAGCACCAGACCAGGAGCUGGGUGUUCUAGGUUCUUGCCCUAACCUUGAACGAGUCACCCAGAUAGUUUUGUUCCUUGAUAUCCUUAUCUGUAAAGUGUGUCUGAUGACUGCCCACUACCUCAUUAGGAGUUUUGAGGAUGAAAUGAGAUCAUUUGUAUGGAAGCAGAUGACCAGAGAUGGAAACACAGGAGCCAAGUGCUUCGUGCCUUGUAGAGUAAGACUUCGGGUCAGACCCAGUAUUGGUAUUUUUCUUUUUCUUUUUUUGAGACAGAGUCUCACUUUGUCGCCAUGACUGGAAGGCUGGAGU